rnacentral:rRNA from 1 species
GAUGAACGCUGGCGGCGUGCCUAAUACAUGCAAGUCGAGCGAACGGACGAGAAGCUUGCUUCUCUGAUGUUAGCGGCGGACGGGUGAGUAACACGUGGAUAACCUACCUAUAAGACUGGGAUAACUUCGGGAAACCGGAGCUAAUACCGGAUAAUAUUUUGAACUGCAUGGUUCAAAAGUGAAAGACGGUCUUGCUGUCACUUAUAGAUGGAUCCGCGCUGCAUUAGCUAGUUGGUAAGGUAACGGCUUACCAAGGCAACGAUGCAUAGCCGACCUGAGAGGGUGAUCGGCCACACUGGAACUGAGACACGGUCCAGACUCCUACGGGAGGCAGCAGUAGGGAAUCUUCCGCAAAGGGCGAAAGCCUGACGGAGCAACGCCGCGUGAGUGAUGAAGGUCUUCGGAUCGUAAAACUCUGUUAUUAGGGAAGAACAUAUGUGUAAGUAACUGUGCACAUCUUGACGGUACCUAAUCAGAAAGCCACGGCUAACUACGUG